GGAUUGAACGCUGGCGGCAUGCCUAACACAUGCAAGUCGAACGGGAGUAGCAAUACUCUAGUGGCGGACGGGUGAGGAAUACGUAGGAAUUUGCCCUUAAGUGGGGGAUAACCCGGGGAAACCCGGAUUAAUACCGCAUGACCUCGAAAGAGCAAAGUGGGGGAUCGCAAGACCUCACGCUUUUGGAGAAGCCUACGUCGGAUUAGCUAGUUGGUGAGGUAAUGGCUCACCAAGGCGACGAUCCGUAACUGGUCUGAGAGGAUGAUCAGUCACACCGGAACUGAGACACGGUCCGGACUCCUACGGGAGGCAGCAGUGGGGAAUAUGGACAAGUGGGCGCAAGCCUGAUCCAGCAAUGCCGCGUGUGUAGAAGGAAGGCCGUUACGGGUUAGUAAACGACGUAACGUUUUAAGGUUAGGGUAAAG
rnacentral:rRNA from 1 species